rnacentral:rRNA from 1 species
GUGAGGAAUAUUGGGCAAUGCCCGAAAGGGUGACCCAGCAACGCCGCGUGGAGGAUGAAGGUCGUAAGAUUGUAAACUCCUGUUAGAGGGGAAGAAUAACUAAGUUUGGAGCUUAGUAUGACUGUACCCUCAGAGAAAGCCCCGGCUAACUACGUGCCAGCAGCCGCGGUAAUACGUAGGGGGCAAGCGUUGUCCGGAUUUACUGGGUGUAAAGGGCGCGCAGGCGGAAUGGAAAGUCAGUGGUGAAAUCCUACAGCUUAACUGUAGAACUGCCUUUGAUACUUUCAUUCUUGAGUUCGGGAGAGAGAGACGGAAUUCCAGGUGUAGUGGUGAAAUACGUAGAUAUCUGGAAGAACACCAGUUGCGAAGGCGGUCUCUUGGUCCGAUACUGACGCUGAGGCGCGAAAGCGUGGGGAGCAAACAGGAUUAGAUACCCGGGUAGUCC